AUUGUUUUUCAUUACAUAUAUCCUGGAGCUGUGAGCAUCCCUCAUGGUUAGAUCAAGGGGAACAGAGAUAUACAUGACCAUGUAGCAUUUUUAGAAGUGUUAAACCAGCUCCAGUACCUGUUGUGUGGAGAGAAAUCCACUCCAUGACUGCAUGAUGGAUCUGCUAACCACGGGACUACAAUUCCCAUCAGCUCCCUCUCUACUACACUUCCCUUUCUCCUGGCCAGGUCCCCACAUCUAUACGCUAAGGUCCAGAGUGGGGGUGAAACCUAUGACAGUCCUGAAACAGAAAGUUGCCUAUCUCUGUUGUGAAGGAGCAACCACAUAGCAAGCCAGGAGCUGCAGGAAAGCUUGAUGCAGAAAGGAACCGCCCACGUAGACCAAUAUGUGGAACAGGCGAUGACUGCCAAACAAUACAGCAUGGUGCAGGUCUGUGUGGUACAUAUGAGGGAGCAGCAGCAGAAGCUGUGCAGGGAGCCCAUGCAGAAGAACUCCAAUGAAAGACAUGCCGUUAAUAAUCCUAGAACAGAAACCUGCAAGCUUCUAUUUGCUUGAAUAGAGAAUGGAUUGGAGAGGGCAUCCAAGGCACUAGGCCUGAAGAGCACUGACUCUCAGUUGGAUUGCCUCUGGGGCCCAAACAAGAACUGCUG